rnacentral:rRNA from 1 species
UACAGAGGUCUCAAGCGUUGUUCGGAUUCAUUGGGCGUAAAGGGUGCGUAGGUGGCGCGGUAAGUCGGGUGUGAAAUCUCGGAGCUUAACUCCGAAAUUGCAUUCGAUACUGCCGUGCUUGAGGACUGGAGAGGAGACUGGAAUUCAUGGUGUAGCAGUGAAAUGCGUAGAGAUCAUGAGGAAGACCAGUGGCGAAGGCGGGUCUCUGGACAGUUCCUGACACUGAGGCACGAAGGCCAGGGGGAGCAAACGGG